GGGCGUUUAGCUCAAAUGGUAGAGCGGGCCGCUUCGCAUGCGGCAGGCAGGGGGAUCGAUACCUCCAACGUCCA
rnacentral:tRNA from 1 species